rnacentral:rRNA from 1 species
GACGUAGGGUGCAAGCGUUGUCCGGAUUUAUUGGGCGUAAAGAGCUCGUAGGCGGCUCGUUGCGUCGACUGUGAAAACCUGGGGCUUAACCCUGGGCUUGCAGUCGAUACGGGCGGGCUAGAGUUCGGUAGGGGAGACUGGAAUUCCUGGUGUAGCGGUGAAAUGCGUAGAUAUUGGAAAGAACACCGAUGGCGAAGGCACUUUACUGGGCUAUUACUAACACUCAGAGACGAAAGCUAGGGUAGCAAAUGGG